UACGGAGGGUGCAAGCGUUAUCCGGAUUCACUGGGUUUAAAGGGUGCGUAGGAGGGUAGGUAAGUCAGUGGUGAAAUCUUCGAGCUUAACUCGGAAACUGCCGUUGAUACUAUCUAUCUUGAAUACCGUGGAGGUGAGCGGAAUAUGUCAUGUAGCGGUGAAAUGCUUAGAUAUGACAUAGAACACCAAUUGCGAAGGCAGCUCGCUACACGAAUAUUGACGCUGAGGCACGAAAGCGUGGGGAUCAAACAGG
rnacentral:rRNA from 1 species